rnacentral:lncRNA from 10 species
UGUCAUUCCUGCUCUUGAAAAGCAGUCAUGUACUCUCCUUUUCUAUUGAAUCUGUAUAUGUGUCUCCACAGGAUUGAGAAUCCAUUGUAUUUACUCGAUAUUCAGUUACAAUAUUACCAGGUCAACUAGUCCCUUUUCACAUUGCUAAAGAAAGGAGGUUUAAUUGAAUCACAGUUCCACAAGGCUGGGGAGGGCUCAGGAAACCUACAAUCACGGUGGAAGGCAAAGGGGAAGCAGGCACAUAUUCACAUGGCCAGCAGGAGAGAGAGAGAGCAAAUUGGGAAGUGCUACACACUUUCAAACAACCAGAUCUCAUGACAGCUCACUCACUAUCAGGAGAACAGCAAGGGAAAAUCCACCCCCAUGAUCCAGUCACUUCCCACUAGGUCGCUUCCUUGACACACGGGAAUUGCAAUUCAAGAUGGGAUUUGGGUGGGGACACAGAGCCAAAUCAUAUCAUUCUGCUGUUGGUCCAUCCCAAAUCUCAUGUCCUUCUCACAUUUCAAAACACAAUCAUGCUUUCCCAACAGCCCACCAAAGUCUUAACUCAUUCCUGCAUUAAUCCAAAAGUCUUUUGUUCCCAAAAGUCUCAUCUGAGAUAACACAAGUUCCUUCUGCCUAUUAGCCUGUAAAAUCAAAAGCAAGUUAGUUACUUCCAAGAUACAAUGAGGGUACAGGCAUUGGUUAAAUGCUCCCAUUCCAAAUGAGAUAAAUGGGCCAAAACAAAGGGGCUACAUGCCCCAUGCAAGUCUGGAACUCAACAGGGCAGUCAUUAAAUUUUAAAGCUUGAAAAUAAUCUUGUUUGACUCCAUGUCUCACAUCCAGGCCAUGCUGAUGCAAAAGCUGGGAUCCUAAGGCCUUUGGCAGCUCCCCCACUAUGGCUCUGAAGGGUACCACCCCUGUGGCUGCUUUCAUGAACUGGUAUUGAGUGUCUCUGUCUUUUCCAGCUGCAUGCUGCAAGCUGUUGGUGGAUUUACCAUUCUGGGGUCUGGAGGACAAUAGCCUUCUUCUCACAGCUCCAAUAGGCAGUGCCCCAGUAAGGACUCUGUGUGGGGGCUCCAAUCCCACAUUUUCCCUCUUUAUUGCCCUAGUAAAAGUUCACCAUGAGGUCUCUGCCCCUGCAACAGACUUCUGCCUGGCCACCUAGGUGUUUCCCUACAUCUUCUGAAAUCUAGGUGGAGGUUCCUAAACCUUUGCCUUCUGUGCACCCCCAGGCCCAACACCACAUGGAAGCCACCAAAGCAUGGGGCUUGAACCCUCUGAUGCAGUGGCCCAAGCUUUACCUUGGCCCCUUUAGCCAUGACUGAAGCUGGAAUGCUGAGACACAGGUUGCUGUGGCCCAAGGCUGCACAGAGCAGCUGGGCCCACAGCCUGGCCCAUAAAACCAUUUUUCCCUCGUAGUCCUCUGGGCAUGUGAUGGGAAGAGCUGCCUCGAAGAGCUCUGAAAUGCCCUGGAGACAUUUUUCCCAUUGUGUUGGCUAUUAACAUUUGGCUCCUUGUUACUUAUGCACAUUUCUGCAGGUGGCUUGGGCUUAAAUUCCUCCCCCCCAAAAUAGUUUCUUUUUUCUAUACAUGGUCAGGCUGCAAGUUUUCCAAACGUUUACACUCUGCUUCCCUUUUAAACAUAAGUUCCAAUUUUAGACCAUCUCUGUGAACACAUAGGACUGUACGUUUUCAGAAAAAGCCCGGUCACAUCUCUAAUGCCUUACUGCUUAGAAAUGUCUUCGACCAGAUACCUUAAAUCAUCUCUCUCAAGUGCAAAUUUCCACAGAUCUCUAGGGUGGGGGCAAAAUGCCACCAGUCUCUUUGCUAAAGUAUAGCAAGAGUGAACUUUGCUCCAGUUCCCAAUAAGCUCCUCAUCUCCAUUUGAGACCACCUCAGCCUGGAUUUCAUUGUCCAUAUCACUAUCAGCAUUUGAUCAAAAACAUUCAGCAAGUCUACAGGAAGUUCCAAACUUUCCCACAUCUUCCUGUCUUCUUCUGAGCCCUCUAAACUGUUCCAACCUCUGCCUGUUUCCCAGUUCCAAAGUUGCUUCCACAUUUUCAGGUAUCUUUAUAGCAAUGUCCCACUUCUCUACAUACCAACUUUCUGUGUUAGUCCAUUUUCACACUGCUAUAAAGAACUACCUGAGAUUGGAUAAUUUAUAAAGAAAAGAGAUUUAAUUGACUCACAGCUCUGCAUUGCUUGGGAGUCCUCAGGAAACUUAUAAUCAUGGUAGAAGGCAAAGGGGAAGCAAGACGUGUCUUACAUAGCAGCAGGAGAGAGAGCGAGGUGCGAGACUGCCAAACACUUUUAGACCAUCAGAUCUCAUGAGAACUCACUAUCACGAGAACAGCAUGAAGGAAAACACCCCCAUGAUUCAGUCACCUCCUACUAGGUCCCUCUCUCAACAUGUCGGGAUUACAAUUUGAGAUGAGAUUUAGGUGGGGACACAGAGCCAAACCAUAUCAACAGGGUCCUGUAGUUUUGGGGGUGACUCAAGAUAAACUACCUCUGUACUUUUGUUCUCUUGCUCUUCUCCUUUUACAGUCUAUCUCUUCUGCAGUUGCACAUUCUGGACAGUAUGAUACAUUUCUAAUGAGCCUGUUUCCUCCUUUUGAGUUUCUCUGUCUGUGCCUUUGGUCUCUGUAAUACUGUCAUUACUUUCCUUGCCCUUCUGGUGCCUCCUGUUCUGGUACUAGUGCCUCUCUCUGUGGCUACGUUCCCCCAAGAAACAAGCAGCAAGGUAUUGUUCCCACUCAGUGAUCUGACCCUUUCCAUACUGUUCUCCACCUUCCCUAUUCAGACCUUUUCCAUGUUUGAAUUGCAGGGGAUUCUCAAUCAUGGAUAAUUCAGUGUUCAUAGAAAAAGCCUAUGAAUUCUUAGUGAGAGCCACCAAAUCUCUUCCUGGGAGUUGGGAAUCCAAACAACUCUCUACACAUGAUACUUUCAUUUUCCAUUCAUUUGAAGUGCUCAGGUCACAGCUAUGAGAUAAAAUCAAAGUGGCUCUCUGUCCCUAGGGCUGUGCAGACAUCAGACAAACUUUGAUACUUGACAUCAACUUGAUGUGUGUUAUACAUGCAUCUUAAUACUUUCAAAGAGUGAAUGCUCAAAAACACACGGGAAUAGGGAAGAUGCUUUAUAUAAAUUCCUCUCAAGGUAGCAGAUUUUUCACCCGCCAGCCUGGCAAAUAAAUUAACAUCAGUAAUAGUAGAGUCAGGAAAAACAUUCCCACAUCUGAGGUUACCUGAGGUCAACUUUAUUUUCCCCAAAUAACCAUGACAACAAAUAUACGUAUUUCCAAAGCUUCUCUCUCCAUCAGUACUGGCAUACCUGUUUUCAUUUUAAGAUGAAGACAGCCUUCGAAGUAAACAAGUCUUUUAAACAAACUGAGAAAACAAGUGAAUUAAUAUGACACUUUCUCAAACAUAUAGGAAAAUAUUUUUCUAUUUUUACUAUUAUCAUUAAUCACAUAUAUUUGUCAUCCACUACACAGAAUAUCCUACUACUAUGUGCUGUCAGAGAGGGAAAAAAAUUGGACCACUCUCUCCCAUUAUUUCAAUUCUGAGCAAAGUUUUCAUAAGGAAUGUCACUCCUUGAGAGCCAGACAGGCACGUUUGCUUAGUGCCUUCACAUGCUCAGAUCACAUGGGUACUAAUUAGUUUAUUGAAAGGAGAGUAAUUCUAUGGAUGGAGCUAUCUUCCCUCAAAUAAUUAAUUGCAGCUCCCAAAAGUGUCUGGCACCCCAAGGAGCAGCUCACCUCCUUGGAAAAGCUAUAUCGUAUAAUCAGGAUAAAACCUUAUAAAACAAUUUAGAGGGAUAUGGUAAUAUCAUCCCAUCAAAAAGCUGAAACCUGCACAAAGAGACAAUUCAACCCAUUAUUUUCUUUUGUAAACAACAUCCAAAAUUCGUAGCUGAGGUAAAGGAUGAAAUUUUUUUUUAAAGUGAUUAUUAUGAACAACAUCUAACACACAUGGUAUAUUUUCUUGUAAUUGCUUUACAAAUAGUAACCUCAUUCUUACAAAUUCCCAUUAGGUUGGUGCAUCAUUAUUUUCUCCAUUUUACAGAUUAGGAAAGCAAGGCAGAGGUUAAGUAAAUUAUCUACAUAAUCAUCGAAGAAUACACUAUUAAUGAAUGGCAAUGUUAAAUUUGAACUUGGCUGGAUUCUGAAUCUGUGCUCUUGACCACUACCAUAUAAUACUAACUUCAAAACAGAAAAUCAGAAAUACCUACUAGAUAUAACCUGCACCUGAUUCUGAACAUAACAUUGUGUUACUAAUGUCUUUUGAUCUUUACAGAAUUAGGAAGUAUCAGUGAUUAGUAGUAAUAAUAGUUCAGUUUAUUGAGUGCCUACUAGAGUUGAGUAUUUCGUAUACAUCAUGUAUUACUCCAAUUAUAAUUUUUCAAAGUGGUCAGGUGAUCUACCCAUGUACACAUAAAGAACUUUAGAAAAGUUGAAACACUUGCUUAAGGUUUCAUAGUCACUGUAUUUACAGCCAGGUGGCUCUGAAUUCAAAUAUUAUAUAUAUUCCACUCUAGGAUCCUUUUUACUUAAGCAAAUUUUAUAAAAAGAAUAAUUAAGGUCCAUAGUUCACCUAAGUCUUAAUAGAAUGCCACCAGUAUCUAUUUUUCAAAUGGAUUUGGAAAUAAACAUGAUGCAACAAGAAGAAAGAGAAUGAAAAACAGGGUGAAGAUUUUAGUUUAAAGUUGCAUUAAACUUUAGUCAGCAUGGAACAGUGAAAUGGGUAAAUAGAAAUUGACCCACCACUCUCAUUUUAUCUAAUGUCACAUUUCUUUAAGAAUAACUUCCAGAUGCUGGCCUGGGUGUACAUUUUCCUAUUUCUGGCAAAGAAAACUCUUGCAUUUUGCCAGCCUGAGAGAACAGAAUCUAUUAAUCAGUGCCAGCCAUGAUUUGUUCUUUCAACAUAAAAGCACAGUCCUUUUUCUUGGAAUGUUUUUAGUUGCAAUAAUCUUUUACUUCACUUCUGUCUACAAGUGUGCACAUUCAUAUUUAUGCCAUGAACUGUGUUAGAGUUUAGCACUGGUUUUUUAAUUUAGUGAGUCAAUUAUCAUAAAUCAGUACAUAGCAGAUUCCUUCGGGAACGUAAGUAGUCCUUCUAAGGCAGUGGUUCUCAAACUUUGGUCUGUAUUAGAACACCUAGAAUGUUUGUGAAGCACACAGAGGCAGGCUUGUUGAAGUAAAAUAGGGCCCAAAUCUUUGUAUUUUUAUCAAGUUGCUAAGUGCUUCAGACACCAAGAAAAGUUUGAGAACCGCUGUUCUACGACUUAUUUCAGCUCUUCCCAUUUUUGGGUCUCAAAGCUGAGCUCAUGAAGCUUUCCAGAUUCAAGUCUUCCUUUCUUACCUAGGUCCUGAGCUGGAACGAUGGAAUCUAGCAGAAGUUGCCUUUCCAGAUUCAAACGGCUUCUAUGGUGGAUUCACACAAAAGAAAUUAGUAGAAGAAAGAAUUUUGCUAAAUUUCUUUUCAGAAAGACUUUACUCAUUUAUCAGCAAUAAAUAGUAUCUGUUAUGAGUUAAAUUGUGUCUCCAAAAAGAUAUGCUGGGGUAAUAGCCACUGGGAACUUUGAAUGUAAUCUUAUUUGGAAAUAGGGUCUUUGCUAAUAUUAUCAAAUUAAGAUGAAGUCAUAUCAAAUUAAGUAUGACUGUCCUUAUAAGAGGAGAAGAGACACAGACACAGAGGAAAGACUGCCAUAUGAAGAUGGGGCAAGGAUUGGAGUUACAUUGCUACAAGCCAAGGAAUGCCUGGCACUACCAGAAGCUGGAGGAGACAAGGGAGGAUUAAUGUCCUUUAGGAGCUUCAAAGGAAAUAUGUCCCUCUCAACAACUUGACUUCUAAUGUUGUGAUGGUUAAUACUGAGUGUCAACUUGAUUGGGUUGAAGGAUACAAAGUAUUGAUCCUGGGUGUGUCUGUGCCAAAGGAGAUUAACAUUUGAGUCAGUGGGAUGGAAAGGCAGACGCACCCUUAAUCUGGGUGGGCAAAAUCUAAGCUGCUAGCAUGACUAGAAUAUAAGCAGGCAGAAAAAUGUGAAAAAGAGAGACUGGCCUAGACUCCCAGCCUACGUCUUUAUCCUGUGCUAGAUGCAUCCUGUCCUUGAACAUCAGACUCUUAAGUCCUUCAAUUUUGGAACUCACACUGGCUCUCCUUGCUCCUCAGCCUGCAGACAGCCUAUUGUGGGACCUUGUGAUCAUGUGAGUUAAUACUUAAUGAACUUAAUAAUAAAUUAAUAUUUAUAUAUUAAUACAUAAUGGAAUAUAUAUUCCAUUAGUUCUAUCCCUCUACAGAAUCCUAUUAGAAUGUCAAACUCUUAAAAACAUUGUUUUUUUUUUUUUUUUUUAGAGACGGUCUUGUUCUGUCACCCAGGUUUGAAUGCAGUGGCAUGAUCAUAACUAAAUGCAACCUCAAACUCCCCAGCUCAAGAGAUCCUUCCACUUCAGCCUCCCGAGUAGCUAGGACUACAGUCAUGCGCCACCACAGCCAGCUAAAUUUAUUUUUUUGUAAAGACAGUCUUUCAAUGUUGCCCAGACUGGUCUCAAACUCUUUGUCCCAAGUGACUCUCCUGCCUCGACCUCCCAAAGUGUUGGGAUUACAGGCGUGAGCCACCAUGUUAAAUGAGAAAAUAAAUUUACGCAGUUUUAAGCCAUCCAGCUUGUGAUACGUUGUUAUGGGAGCCCUAGGAAAUUAAUACACCAUUAUUUUCAAAGUGCUGCUAAUUUAUAAGACAACAUUGGUUUUUAAUUGUUCUGAUUUUCAAAAAUAUCUGCUGACUUAAAAUAUGAAGAUUGUAUUCAAGUGUUCUGAUUUUCAUUGAAGUUAAAAAUUUGUCUUAAAUACUAGACAUUUACUUCUAUCAAUUUUCUCACAAUGUUUUUAUACCUUUUUCUCAGUUAUUGUAACAUUAGUGUUCUUUUUAAUCAAUAUAUUAUGAAUGUCACUUUUUAUCCAUCACAUUAAUUACAAAUGUUUUUCUCUAGUUUUUGGUUUCCUAUAACUUACUUCCUAAAUAUAUAAAAUAAACAGAAAUAAUUUUAUGUGUGUAGAAUAUUUUUACUUAAGAAGAAUAGAUUGUCAAAUUA